GGCGAACGCUGGCGGCGUGCUUAACACAUGCAAGUCAAACGGUAAGGCCCUUCGGGGUACACGAGUGGCGAACGGGUGAGUAACACGUGGGUGAUCUGCCCUGCACUUCGGGAUAAGCCUGGGAAACUGGGUCUAAUACCGGAUAGGACUCCUGGCUUCAUGGUUGGGGGUGGAAAGCUUUUGCGGUGUGGGAUGGGACCGCGGCCUAUCAGCUUGUUGGUGGGGUAAUGGCCUACCAAGGCGACGACGGGUAGCCGGCCUGAGAGGGUGACCGGUCACACUGGGACUGAGAUACGGCCCAGACUCCUACGGGAGGCAGCAGUGGGGAAUAUUGCACAAUGGGCGCAAGCCUGAUGCAGCGACGCCGCGUGAGGGAUGACGGCCUUCGGGUUGUAAACCUCUUUCAGCUAUGACGAAGCGCAAGUGACGGUAGUAGCAGAAGAAGGACCGGCCAACUACGUGCCAGCCGCCGCGGUAAAAC
rnacentral:rRNA from 1 species